rnacentral:rRNA from 2 species
AACCCUUAUCCUUUGUUGCCAGCGAUUAGGUCGGGAACUCAAAGGAGACUGCCAGUGAUAAACUGGAGGAAGGUGGGGAUGACGUCAAGUCAUCAUGGCCCUUACGACCAGGGCUACACACGUGCUACAAUGGCGCAUACAAAGAGAAGCGACCUCGCGAGAGCAAGCGGACCUCAUAAAGUGCGUCGUAGUCCGGAUUGGAGUCUGCAACUCGACUCCAUGAAGUCGGAAUCGCUAGUAAUCGUGGAUCAGAAUGCCACGGUGAAUACGUUCCCGGGCCUUGUACACACCGCCCGUCACACCAUGGGAGUGGGUUGCAAAAGAAGUAGGUAGCUUAACCUUCGGGAGGGCGCUUACCACUUUGUGAUUCAUGACUGGGGUGAAGUCGUAACAAGGUAACCGUAGGGGAACCUGCGGUUGGA